rnacentral:rRNA from 1 species
UCGCUACUACCGAUUGAACAUUUUAGUGAGGCAUCCGGACUGGCGCUUCGGAGCUGGCGACAGCUCUGUUUUGUUGGGAAGUUUUCCAAACUUGGAUGUUUAGAGGAAGUAAAAGUCGUAACAAGGUUUCCGUAGGUGAACCUGC